AAUUUAAUGAUAAUUAUAGAUUCUCUACAACUCUGUAUAUUUGUAAACAAGUGCAAGUUUUUAUCAAGAUAUUAUUAACAUAUUAUUCGUGUGCAACUGUUAGGUUUAUAAUGAUUAGAAUGUAAAAUAAUUAUACAUUAUCUUAAGUAAUUAUUAGUUAUUUAUAAAAAUGUUUGUAAAAUGUAUUAGUGUUGUUGUUUGUACUAUUUGUUUUUUAUACACCUUUUAUAUUUUAUGUAAUUUGACAUAUUUUUUAUCGAAUGUGUCGAAUAAAAAUAAAGAAACGAUUACUUCGCCAGAAAAGGAUGAAGAUACAGAGUCUGUAUUAUGGUUGCUAAUAAUAAACAUGUCUCUAUUAAGUAUUUUCAUGUUCCAACAUUCACUUAUGGCAAGUAAUGUUGUGAAACAUUUAUUUUGUAAAUUACAUAUGGAUUAUAUGGAAAGAAGUAUUUAUAAUGUUACUAGUGCUAUGACUCUUCAUUUAUUAUUUAACAAAUGGCAAACUAUUUCAUCUAUUGCAUUAUGGAAUGUUAAUAUAUCUUUUGAUAAUGUUUUGUGGUUUACAUUUACUGCUUUACAUGUAUUGGCUUGGUCAAUAAUUUAUAGUGGAUGUUUGAUGAUGGAUAUAUCUGAAUUAGUUGGAAUAAAACAAGUAUAUUAUAAGUUUUCAUUUAGACCAAGUCCUAUGCUAAUGAAGUCAAAAGAAUUGUUACGUUAUUACUCACACAUGAGACAUCCAAGUUUUACAGGAUUUCUUAUUAUUUUAUGGGUAUAUCCUCAUAUGACAUUAGACCGAUUAUUAUUGGCUUUGAUACUUUCAAUUUACAUGACCUUAAUGUGGACUAUUGACAAGGAAGAUUACAAUUAUCAUGCUAAUCUUGUGAAGAGAAAACAAAGAGAAUUAUUCUGAUUUUCACUUAUACAUAGUAGUUUGCGUUAUCAACUUUUGUGUUCAUUACAAUUAAGUUAUAUAUUCAGUCGUUCUAACAUUAGUUUAAAAGUUUUAUAUUGUGAAAAGCAAGUAGAACUGCAACAACAAAAUUAGUACUAUGUCCAGUUGUGGAUAAUACACCUGCUCGAACUGCUGUUUUAUACAAAGGGCAAACAUAUCUUGAAUCAUCUUUUGGUAAUUCUAAUACUGGAUUUAUAUGUAAAACUGGAAGAGAUGGAUUCAUUUCACCUAAAAUAGAUCAUUUAUUUGCCUUUU